GAUGAACGCUGGCGGCGUGCCUAACACAUGCAAGUCGAGCGAUCUUCUUCGGAAGAGAGCGGCGGACGGGUGAGUAACGCGUGGGUAACCUGCCCUAUACACACGGAUAACAUACCGAAAGGUAUGCUAAUACGAGAUGAUAUAAGAAAUUCGCAUGUUUUUCUUAUCAAAGCUGAGGCGGUAUAGGAUGGACCCGCGUCUGAUUAGCUAGUUGGUAAGGUAAUGGCUUACCAAGGCGACGAUCAGUAGCCGACCUGAGAGGGUGAUCGGCCACAUUGGAACUGAGACACGGUCCAAACUCCUACGGGAGGCAGCAGUGGGGAAUAUUGCACAAUGGGCGAAAGCCUGAUGCAGCAACGCCGCGUGAGCGAUGAAGGCCUUCGGGUCGUAAAGCUCUGUCCUCAAGGAAGAUAAUGACGGUACUUGAGGAGGAAGCCCCGGCUAACUACGUGCCAGCAGCCGCCGUAAGAC
rnacentral:rRNA from 1 species